UGGAUGAGAAAUUCCAUGGAAUUUGGGAAUAAAAAUAAUGCCUACCCAUGCAGAGUAUGAUAGAAAUCUAGAAACUGCUUCAAUUUUGGUAAAUGAUCCGCCAUUAGCUAUUGAACAUGUUAUAAUCUUGUAUAAAAAGGAAAAAAAGUUUUCCCGUCUCAUCAUAAUAGAUAAAAAAAAAAACAAAAAAAAAAACAAGGAGGCCGAACAUCUGACUUCAAGUCCUAAAUAUUACACAAGUACAUACGUAGGUAUACAUAUUGAACAGUCGUUGAAAUUAGUAAACAAGUGAUUUCCGGAUUAUAUAUUCCAGUUUCAACACCAUUGAAAUUCACUAAGAUUGUCACCGAUCACAAAUGUGAGUAUGUUUAGUUUGACAAAAGAAAUAUUUAAUCAGACUAAUGAUCAAC
rnacentral:lncRNA from 1 species